GAGACUUUAAGUUAUAACCAAACUAGCAGCCUUCAAAGUUACAAAAAAGAAUUAAGUCUUA
rnacentral:tRNA from 1 species